ACUGCUCAGUAACACGUGGACAACCUGCCCUUAGGUUGGGUAUAAACCCGGGAAACUGGGUAUAAUGCCCGAUAGGUCUCGAUUGCUGGAAUGCAUCGAGAUUUAAAGCUCCGGCGCCUAAGGAUGGGUCUGCGGCCUAUCAGGUAGUAGUGGGUGUAGCGUACCUACUAGCCUACGACGGGUACGGGUUGUGAGAGCAAGAGCCCGGAGAUGGAUUCUGAGACACGAAUCCAGGCCCUACGGGGUGCAGCAGGCGCGAAAACUUUACAAUGCUGGCAACAGCGACAAGGGAACCUCGAGUGCCAGGUUACAAAUCUGGCUGUCGAGAUGCCUAAAAAGCAUUUCAUAGCAAGGGCCGGGCAAGACCGGUGCCAGCCGCCGCGGUAACACCGGCGGCUCGAGUGGUAACCGUUAUUAUUGGGUCUAAAGGGUCUGUAGCCGGCCGGAUAAGUCUCUUGAGAAAUCUGGCAGCUUAACUGUCAGGCUUUCAGGAGAUACUGUCUGGCUCGAGGCCGGGAGAGGUGAGAGGUACUUCAGGGGUAGGGGUGAAAUCUUGUAAUCCUUGAAGGACCACCAGUGGCGAAGGCGUCUCACCAGAACGGACCUGACGGCAAGGGACGAAAGCUAGGGGCACGAACCGGAUUAGAUACCCGGGUAGUCCUAGCCGUAAACGAUACUCGUUAGGUGUCGGCCACGGUGCGACCGUUGUCGGUGCCGUAGGGAAGCCGUGAAGCGAGCCACCUGGGAAGUACGGCCGCAAGGCUGAAACUUAAAGGAAUUGGCGGGGGAGCAC
rnacentral:rRNA from 1 species